UGGGGAAUAUUGCACAAUGGGCGCAAGCCUGAUGCAGCCAUGCCGCGUGUAUGAAGAAGGCCUUCGGGUUGUAAAGUACUUUCAGUCGGGAGGAAGGUGGUAAGGUUAAUAACCUUAUCAAUUGACGUUACCGACAGAAGAAGCACCGGCUAACUCCGUGCCAGCAGCCGCGGUAAUACGGAGGGUGCAAGCGUUAAUCGGAAUUACUGGGCGUAAAGCGCACGCAGGCGGUUUGUUAAGUCAGAUGUGAAAUCCCCGGGCUCAACCUGGGAACUGCAUCGUAUACUGGCAAGCUUGAGUCUCGUAGAGGGGGGUAGAAUUCCAGGUGUAGCGGUGAAAUGCGUAGAGAUCUGGCGGAAUACCGGUGGCGAAGGCGGCCCCCUGGACGAAGACUGACGCUCAGGUGCGAAAGCGUGGGGAGCAAACAGG
rnacentral:rRNA from 1 species